GCCUUCUCAAUGGUUUGGAAUAGACACUGCUAACAAGAGUAUUAGUAGUAAACUAAGAAGAACAGAGAAAUUGAAUGAAAAGUGAGAACAUGGAGAGAGGCAAAAUGUGCAGUGCAAUCAACAGAUUGGGAAGGAAAAGAGCGUGGCUGGAUCAGGGAGAUUGAAGUAAUUCCACUGAACUCAUUGAAAUUACGCUGACAACCACUUGACAUGGAAACAUGGAGGAAGAAGGCCCCGGAAUCCAUAAUCCUCUGAAGAAACAUCUGCUCAUUUGUCUGAUUUCUCCCUAAUCUGUACACUUCUCCAAAGCAGGAUGUAUAGUCACAGUUGCUCCCGUAUUCCCAAUAAUUAGUCAUAGUUAUGCUUUUUUCAACCCCUUGUACUGCAAGGAAUCUUUCUGGAAUAAACUGUACAGAAUAGGAAGAAUAGGUGAUGGCCUUUGAGAUAUUUUGCAGGACAUAGAAGAAAACCUAAAGGGGACACAAAUCCCAUCGAUUAGUUUCUUAAGAGUGGACAAGUAGAGUGGCCUUAGGAGUGGUCUUCUCUAUUAACCAGAGAUAGCAGGGUACAAAGACAGGACCAACAAAGUUUGUUCAUGGAAAAAGACUUGUUUCAAGGCCCUAAUGCUUUUUAAAACUGUCAUCAAGGCUUAACUAUCAGCUCUGUCUGCUAACGUGAGUGAAGUGUUUUGAAAAGAUGGAGAGAAAGUCAGCAUUAGGAUAUGAUUAUUGUCAUUCAUUUCAAGCAGACAUUUUCUAGCGCCAUUGGCUUAUUUGCCCGGUGUAGCUUUCUCUAACCUCCUGUCUGUGCUGUUGGGAAGAAAUAAUUCCUCCGUGUUAGGAUAGCACUUUUUACACCUCUUUUCAUAACACUGCAACACUUCACGUGCAGUAAAUCAAGAUCUCUGACGGAAGAUGAAAUGGAAAGGAAACUAAGGGUUGAUUAAGUUAUUUGGUCAGACAUAAUACCAGAUUUUUAAAAUAUUCUGUACUUUGUUUUAAUAACUACUUAAUUAUGUAGGUACUAAUUCCCCCCUUUUUUUUUAGAUGAAAAGCUAAAGAGAAAUUAACAGAACCUGACCAGUAGUCAGUAGUCAGUGGUGUUUCCAAAUUCCUAGGUCUUACUUACAGCAGUCAUUACUUUUUCUUCAUAAUUCAUAUAGCUUAAAAUACACAAUGUAGGGUGCCCUCUUUAUUACUCAUUGACACUCUCAUAACCCUUUCCUCCUUGUUUUUGCCCAAGCAAAAGCUUUCAAAUGUCAGUUAAUAAGUGCGACAGGGAUAAAAUAAGAAAAAUUUGGAGUUCCCAUCAUGGUGCAGUGGUCAGCGAAUCUGACUAGGAACUAUGAGGUUGCAGGUUCGAUCCCUGCCCCUGCUCAGUGGGGUAACGAUCCGGCGUUGCCGUGAGCUGUGGUGUAGGUUGCAGACGCGGCUCGGAUUCUGAGAUGCUGUGGCUUCGGCGUAGGCCAGCAGCUACAGCUCCAAUUCGACCCCUAGCCUGGGAGCCUCCAUAUGCCGCGGGAGCG
rnacentral:lncRNA from 1 species